GGCGAGUGAAGCGGCUACAGCUCAAAUUUGAAAUCUGGCCCUCCUCAGGGGUCCGAGUUGUAAUUUGCAGAGGAUGCUUUGGCGUUGGCGGCGUUCCAAGUUCCCUGGAACAGGACAUCGCAGAGGGUGAGAAUCCCGUACGCGGGCGCCUGCCUCCGCCGUGUAAAGCUCCUUCGACGAGUCGAGUUGUUUGGGAAUGCAGCUCUAAAUGGGAGGUAAAUUUCUCCUAAAGCUAAAUACCGGCCAGAGACCGAUAGCGCACAAGUAGAGUGAUCGAAAGAUGAAAAGUACUUUGGAAAGAGAGUCAAACAGCACGUGAAAUUGUUGAAAGGGAAGCGCUUGCCGCCAGACGUGCCCGCGGUUGCUCACCCAGGCUUCUUUGCCUGGGGCACUCUUCCGCGGGCAGGCCAGCAUCGGUUCGGGCGGUCGGACAAAGGCCUCUGUCAAGUACCACCCUUCGGGGUGGCCUUAUAGGGGAGGCGCAAUGCGAUCAGCCCGGACCGAGGUCCGCGCAUCUGCUAGGAUGCUGGCGUAAUGGCUGCAAGCGGCCCGUCUUGAAACACGGAUCGAGGAGUCUAACAUCUACGCGAGUGUUUGGGUGUCAAGCCCGGGCGCGCAAUGAAAGUGAACGGAGGUGGGAGCCUCUCGGGGCGCACCAUCGACCGAUCCUGAAGUCUUCGGA
rnacentral:rRNA from 1 species